rnacentral:rRNA from 1 species
AUACGGAGGGGGCUAGCGUUGUUCGGAAUUACUGGGCGUAAAGCGUACGCAGGCGGAUAUUUAAGUUAGGUGUGAAAUCCCAGGGCUCAACCCUGGAACUGCACUUAAAACUGGGUAUCUAGAGUUAUGGAGAGGUAAGUGGAAUUCCUAGUGUAGAGGUGAAAUUCGUAGAUAUUAGGAGGAACACCAGAGGCGAAGGCGGCUUACUGGACAUAUACUGACGCUGAGGUACGAAAGUGUGGGGAGCAAACGGGAUUAGAAACCCUAGUAGUCC